UACGUAGGGUGCAAGCGUUAAUCGGAAUUACUGGGCGUAAAGCGCGUGUAGGCAGCUCGGAAAGUCGGAUGUGAAAGCCCUGGGCUCAACCUAGGAAGUGCAUUCGAAACUUCCGAGCUGGAGUGCUGGAGAGGAAGGCGGAAUUCUCGGUGUAGAGGUGAAAUUCGUAGAUAUCGAGAGGAACACCGGUGGCGAAGGCGGCCUUCUGGACAGUUACUGACGCUGAGACGCGAAAGCGUGGGGAGCAAACAGG
rnacentral:rRNA from 1 species